rnacentral:rRNA from 1 species
UCUUCCCUCUUUCUUCGUGCCUAAUACAUGCAAGUAGAACGCUAACGGAGGAGCGUUCUCUUCUGGAUGAAUGGCGAACGGGUGAGUAAGUCGUAGGUAACCUGCUGCGUAACGGGGGAUGACUAUUGGAAACGAUAGCUAAUACCACAUGACAACAGUUCUUGCAUGAUAACUGGUUAAAAGGGGCAUCUGCUCCACUACCAUGUGCACCUGCGUUGUGUUAGCUAGUUGGGGAGGUAACGGCUCACCAAGGCGACGAUACAUAGCCUACCUGAGAGGGUUAUCGGCCACAAUGGGACUGAGACACGGCCCAGACUUCUACGGGAGGCAGCAGGAGGGGAUCUUCGGCAAUGGACGGCAGUCUGACCGAGGAACGCCGCGGGAGUGAAGAAGGGUUUCGGAUCGUAAAGCUCUGUUGUACGAGAAGAAAGGGAGUGAGGGUGGAAAGUUCACACUGUGACGUUAUCUGAACAGAAAGGGCCGGCUAACUCCGUG